rnacentral:rRNA from 1 species
AUUGAACGCUGGCGGCAUGCUUUACACAUGCAAGUCGAACGGCAGCACGGACUUCGGUCUGGUGGCGAGUGGCGAACGGGUGAGUAAUACAUCGGAACGUGCCCAGUUGUGGGGGAUAACUACUCGAAAGAGUGCUAAUACCGCAUGAGAACUGAGGUUGAAAGCAGGGGAUCGCAAGACCUUGCGCAACUGGAGCGGCCGAUGGCAGAUUAGGUAGUUGGUGGGAUAAAAGCUUACCAAGCCGACGAUCUGUAGCUGGUCUGAGAGGACGACCAGCCACACUGGGACUGAGACACGGCCCAGACUCCUACGGGAGGCAGCAGUGGGGAAUUUUGGACAAUGGGCGAAAGCCUGAUCCAGCAAUGCCGCGUGCAGGAUGAAGGCCUUCGGGUUGUAAACUGCUUUUGUACGGAACGAAAAGCUUCGGGUUAAUACCCUGGAGUCAUGACGGUACCGUAAGAAUAAGCACCGGCUAACUACGUGCCAGCCGCCGCUGUAAGAC